rnacentral:rRNA from 1 species
CCUAUGGGGUGCAGCAGGCGCGAAAACUUUACAAUGCUGGCAACAGCGAUAAGGGAACCUCGAGUGCCAGGUUACAAAUCUGGCUGUCGAGAUGCCUAAAAAGCAUUUCAUAGCAAGGGCCGGGCAAGACCGGUGCCAGCCGCCGCGGUAACACCGGCGGCUCGAGUGGUAACCGUUAUUAUUGGGUCUAAAGGGUCUGUAGCCGGCCGGAUAAGUCUCUUGAGAAAUCUGGCAGCUUAACUGUCAGGCUUUCAGGAGAUACUGUCUGGCUCGAGGCCGGGAGAGGUGAGAGGUACUUCAGGGGUAGGGGUGAAAUCUUGUAAUCCUUGAAGGACCACCAGUGGCGAAGGCGUCUCACCAGAACGGACCUGACGGCAAGGGACGAAAGCUAGGGGCACGAACCGGAUUAGAUACCCGGGUAGUCCUAGCCGUAAACGAUACUCGCUAGGUGUCGGCCACGGUGCGACCGUUGUCGGUGCCGUAGGGAAGCCGUGAAGCGAGCCACCUGGGAAGUACGGCCGCAAGGCUGAAACUUAAAGGAAUUGGCGGGGGAGCACCACAACGGGUGGAGCUUGCGGUUUAAUUGGAUUCAACGCCGGAAAUCUUACCGGGACCGACAGCAAUAUGAAGGCCAGGCUGAAGACUUUGCCGGAUUAGCUGAGAGGUGGUGCAUGGCCGUCGUCAGUUCGUACUGUGAAGCAUCCUGUUAAGUCAGGCAACGAGCGAGACCCACGCCCACAGUUGCCAGCGUACUCUCUGGAGUGACGGGUACACUGUGGGGACCGCCGCUGCUAAAGCGGAGGAAGGAAUGGGCAACGGUAGGUCAGUAUGCCCCGAAUAUCCCGGGCUACACGCGAGCUACAAUGGUUGGUACAAUGGGUAUCUACCCCGAAAGGGGACGGGAAUCUCCUAAAACCAAUCUUAGUUCGGAUUGAGGGCUGCAACUCGCCCUCAUGAAGCUGGAAUCCGUAGUAAUCGCGUUUCAACAGAACGCGGUGAAUACGUCCCUGCUCCUUGCACUCACCGCCCGUC